AGGAGGAGUACACAGAGGAGGAGAAAGAGGCAGAGGCCGAGGAAGACCUGAAGCAGGAGGAGAACGUGCACAAAGAAGAAGAGGACCAAACUUAUCAAAUGACAUUCGUGCAACACUAGUGGACCAUGUUGUGAACCACGGAUUGACGCUGAGGGAGGCUGGACUGAGAGUUCAGCCAAAUCUUAGCAGAUAUACAGUGGCAUCUGUCAUAAGGACUUUUCGACAGGAAAACAGGAUUGAGGGUCGGGAACGACAAGGAGGAAGGGGGCCCAUAUUCACGCAAGAACAAGAGAGAGAGAUAAUAAACAUGGUUUUGGCCAAUAAUGCUAUCAGACUCAGAGAACUACAA